GGAAGAGGUGUGAGCAGCCAGACAGGGAAAUACAUCAAAGAUCAGGGAAGAGGACACCCUGCAGGGGAGCAGGGAAGGAGGAUAUUCUAAGGAACAUGAAAAUGGACCUUGAGAUAGAAAGUCAACUUUUUGAUGGUGCCCAUGACAGAGGGCACCCAAGAGUCACAUUAAAACAAACAAACAAAAAAUGAGUAAAUAAAAACUUGACACAUAAAGCAUUUGUAUUUCUUUUUCCAAGUCCUUCUUCCCAUGCUCCCAAUCCUAGACAGUCAGAAGCAUAAGAGGGGUGGUGGAAGAAAUAGAAUGUUAACUGGAUAAAAAAUAAAAUCAAGAUCAUGCCUCUCUCUCCCACAGGCAAGUCUACACACCAUCCAUCAGGCCUGAGCAGAGCAGGAGGGGAAGAGCAGGAAGUGAGGCUGAAGUUGAAUCUUGGCCUUGGCGAGCCCUGGGUAUAGUAACAGUAGACGGAGGUCGGGUCAGGAGGCGCUCCAGAGGCAGGGGCAGGUUUCAGCACUGACAGCGCAGCUGCAGGGAUCUUGGAGGCAACGCCUGGCAGAGCUUCUGGGUCUUGCUGCCCCAGCGAUGGCUGCAGUACCUGGGACUUGUCCCUCUGGCCCUGCUCCCAACGUCCGAUCCAGCCCAUUGGACUUGUACACCUGCUUCUUCUCUGACCUCUGGAUUCGUGAAAGAUAAUCUCAGGACACCGUCAGCUCAACAGUUACGGAACUACUAUAGUCGUGUCUUCAGGAAUUGCUUGCUUUUUAAGGAUGAAAUGGUGGAGGCAAACACUGUUUAACAGGUGAGCCUCCUGUGGCAAUAUUUGGAGUUGCACCCUGGUGGAUUUGGAUUACAGACAGCCCAUACGAUGUCUCAUCCAACA